UUAAAAAGCUCGUAGUUGAAUUUCGGGGUCAGUAGGUCGGUCGUGCCACUGGUAUGAACUGGUUUUACUGAUUCCUCCCUCUUGAAGAACUGUAAUGCCAUUAAUUUGGUGUUGCAGGGAAUCAGGACUGUUACUUUGAAAAAAUUAGAGUGUUUAAAGCAGGCUUUAGCUUGAAUACAUUAGCAUGGAAUAACGAAAUAGGACGUUUGAUCCUAUUUUGUUGGUUUCUAGGAUUGACGUAAUGAUUAAUAGGGAUAGUUGGGGG
rnacentral:rRNA from 1 species